GCAUAGGAAUCUGCCCGGUAGUGGGGGAUAACCUGGGGAAACCCAGGCUAAUACCGCAUACGCCCUACGGGGGAAAGCAGGGGAUCUUCGGACCUUGCGCUAUCGGAUGAGCCUAUGUCGGAUUAGCUAGUUGGUGAGGUAACGGCUCACCAAGGCUGCGAUCCGUAGCUGGUCUGAGAGGAUGAUCAGCCACAUCGGGACUGAGACACGGCCCGAACUCCUACGGGAGGCAGCAGUGGGGAAUAUUGGACAAUGGGCGAAAGCCUGAUCCAGCCAUGCCGCGUGUGUGAAGAAGGCCUUCGGGUUGUAAAGCACUUUCAGUGAGGAAGAAAGCCUUGAGGUUAAUACCCUYGAGGGAGGACAUCACUCACAGAAGAAGCACCGGCUAACUCCGUGCCAGCAGCCGCGGUAAUACGGAGGGUGCGAGCGUUAAUCGGAAUUACUGGGCGUAAAGCGCGCGUAGGCGGCUUGAUAAGCCGGUUGUGAAAGCCCCGGGCUCAACCUGGGAACGGCAUCCGGAACUG
rnacentral:rRNA from 1 species